UCAGUUGCUCUGAGGUUGUGUGUGCCUGGCAGGGAGCACAGGGAAGCUCAGGUUUGGUGUGGAACAGCCUGCUGGGUACCAGGAGCCACACAAACGAUGCAGAGACGUGUUCAGCCUCACGUUUUGCAUCUGUGCUGCUCCAGUUCUCCUGGGUGGUGGGAAGCUGAAGGCUGAACAGGCACAGAAAGGGGCUCUCCUGCUUUUCAGGUGGUGCUUCAGUGGAAGGUGCUGAUCUCAAGAGGGCGUCUUGCAUAUGCCAGAGGAAUAUGUUGUUUGAGGGAAAAGCUGCUUAUAAAUCUGUGCAAAUUGAAAGAUUCUGAGGACAAACCUGUCAGUGAUGAAUUGUUCCAGAAGUACACAAAAAAAGCUCUACGUGGUAGAGGCUGUGGUUUCUCAGGCUGAAACUCAUCUCAGCUCCUCAUGACCAGCUGAGCAAGAGAGAUGGGAUUUGAUGCUAUCCAAGGUGUAAUUCCACAGUUCAUGUCUUCUGCUAGUGCCAGCUUAAUCAGUUUCUGCCCACUCCCAGCCAUUCAUUUCCAGCUCAGCAGCAAUGCAGUGCCACCUCUUCCCUGACCGUGUGGAAAACCAGAUGACUGAAAAUAACUCGGUCAAGAAAAGAAAAGCUUCAUUUUUCCCCUUUGUAUUAGAAUCAUUUGAAUUAAUUUCAUGGGCCACAGGCAGUCGUAUUGGUACUGCUGAAGGUGACAAGAAAUGCAGCAUGAGAGUCAGCAGUGAGCACUGGAGGGUGUCCCAGUGCUGUGUGAUCUUGCUGUCAACAAAAAUCUGCUCUGGGACCAUAUCCUGAAUGAAGGGCUUUUGCUAGCCACAGGAUUAUUUGUUGAACUGCUGCUUUUCAUUUAUUUUAUUAAGGAAGAUUAACAUCUUCUUGUUGGGGCAGGUUUAUUUUUUUUUACUUGAGGAGAUAAACCAUCUCUGUGAGAAGUCAGUCAGCUUUGUGGACAGCCAUGAAUGUCAAUAAAGUCUUGGCAAACACAUUCAACAAGAAAAUUGCCCUCAACUCUUCGAUCAUUAAAUCUGGGAAGGAUGGAGCAGUCCAAGAUUUGAAAAUGUUUUAAAACUUCGAGCAUCUAAUUAGAAGGAGGCCUCUUGGAGCAGCACAAUAGCUCUCUAUCUGCAGUUCAUUUGGUUUUCCAAUUUAGAAAUGACAGUUUACAGCCCUGGUGCAGCGUGUUUCUCAUUAGCCUGUUCUAGGAACAUGCAGAGUUAUUACAAGUUUUGAAAGAUGCUUUCUUCAAAAGUGCAAAUGAUACUAAAUGGCAGAAUUUGCUCUCUGGGAUAGCCACAUGGAGAAGCUGUGCUCUGCAACCAUCCCAGUGCUGGUGGUAAAGGCAGAGUCACGCAGCUGGACCUCAGCUUCAAAUCGUGGAUGUCAUGGAUGCAACUGCAUGGAAAAGAUGCUGCAGCAGGAAUUAUCAUUGUCCAGGGGAGACAGUUGUGAAUUGUCCAUGCUUUCCUUGUUUCACAGAUGGAUCUCAGGUUUCUUGGGCUUUUCCCAUGAAGAUUUUCUUGGAGAGGAGUGUGUUAGCUGUGCUGCUGACAGAUACCCUCCUGAGAACUGUCCACACUGGCUUGAUUUUCCUUCUCCAGGAGCUGGAUUCCUGGUCUGAGCUGGUUGGUUUCUUGUCCUUGGGGUAAAUGAAGACAGAGCUGCAUGUCAGCUGCUCGGUGAAACUUGAGGAACAGGUGUAAUUAUUUUUUUUAUGUGGUUUUCUGCCCCCUGAAGAGGAGAUGGAGAAUAUUUGCUUGUCCUCAGGACUCGACAGAUGGGUUCAUCUUGCAUGGUGGUUUAGGGUCUGGAAUGUCAGUUCUACAAGGACUGGCUGAGGGUUGAAAAGGAGACUCAGGGGAGACCUUAUUUACCUGAAGACCAGCAUUUCGCUGAGAGAAGGUGCUGGUGAGGUGGGAGUCAGCCUCUUCUCCCAGGUAACGAGUGACAGGACAAUGGCAAACAGCCUCAAGUUUCACCAGAAGAGGUUCAAGUUGGGCAUUAGGAAAAAUUUCUUCACUGAAAGAGUGGUUAAGCAUUGAAACAGGCUGAAGGCAGUGGUGGAGUCACCAUCCCUGGAAGUGUUCAAAAAACAAGUGGACCUGGCACUUCAUUGUAGGGUUCAAUGAGCAUGUGGUGGUAUUAAAUCAAAGGUUGGACUCAAUAAUCUUGGAGGUCUUCUCCAACCUCAGUGGUUCUGUGGUUCUAGUCAACUAAAAUCAGCUUUCACAGGUUUCCAGAGGCAGGGAUGGAGCAUACCCAGGUGUAAUAAGCUGCAGGAGGGAAAAAAAUGCAGAUGCUUCAUUCUUCUUGAAAACACUGCAGCAAGACAAAAUUCUGGACUUCUGCAUGGCUGAAGGAAAAAGAGUUUGGUUCUGCCUGCACUUCAAAGCAGCUUUAUUUUACCCAUUAGUGUUUUGUGUGGAAGAUUCCCAGGCAGCUGCAUGCUUGGGGCAGAGCCCGGGGACACGGGCACAGCUCUGUCCUGCUGCUUCCUGCCUGCUCUGCUCCACACAGGCACUUUCUGGACAGAAAAGCUGCACAAUAAAUCCAGUGGUGAUGUGGCCUGGCGUGGUGACAGCUCUUCCAGUAACUGCAGGAACUGCCUGCUUGCAGAGGCUCAGCCUGCUCUGAUGGGUUGUUUUCCUCAGAACUGUUGUUCUGCACCAGAUGGGGCACACGGUGUCUUUGUGCUUCCCUCUGCCUUGCAGACACUUUGUGGUGCCUUCUGUGCCACUGCCCAGGGUGGUUUGUUCCCUUCUGAGAGGCUGUGAUGGACCUGAGUGCUUCCCAGAAGAUGUCACUUGGAGCAGGGCUGUGCAAACACUCCAGACUUGCUCUGCAGAUGUGCUUCGGGUCUGAUGUUUGUUCUGCCAGCUGAGAUGAGGGGCUGCAGAGAGGUUUUGAAAAAAGGAAAGGAAAAAAUCUGUUUGAAAGGGAGUAAAUUGUCUAGAACACACUUCACUAGCAGAUUUCCAGGAAACAGCCCUCUGUCAGACUUCUUAGAAGCUGUGCUGGCUCCAGGUGCUAAGUGCCAGGUCUGAAUAGCCCAUAAUCAACUCGGUCCUUAACGUUAGGUUUGGAGACACACUUUCCCCCAAAUUUGCAAAUCCCACCUCAGCCAGAGCUAGCUGACAGGUGGGCAGAUUUCCAGGCUCUCUGCAGGACCUUUGGGAUGAAUAUUCAGCCUUUAGGCACUGAUGUGCAGCUUCUGUCACAUGCUGGUCUUGUUGCUGCUGCUGCUGAAAUGAAGAUUUGGUAACAUCUUACGUGUUCUGCUGUCACAAGAGGGAGUUUUGCAGCAGUGCUGCCCUUGCUGGUGUGUCUGGAUGUAGUCUUGCUGUGGGCAGAGCUCAGCAGACAGAACGUGUUAAUAGAAGACAGCAGCACAAGCAGGAUGAAGGUCCUUCAUUCCUUGUUAAAGCCUUGUACAUGUUGUUCAAGCUUGACUAACAAAAUUCCUCUGAGUGACACUGCUGCAAGCAAUUCUCUUGCUGUUGGUAGCACUGUAAUAGAAAACAGAAGUGAGCAUUUGAGUGACUCAAACCAAAGUCAAGGGUAAGAAUAAGAAAAAAGCAUCAACUGUUUAACAGGAAAAAUAAAAACCCGACGUGGCUAGGUAUUCUUCUGUGGCAUUUCCAAUUUAUUGUUACAGGAAUAUCCUCCCAGCUAGACUCAAGCUCCCUCAGGAAGCUGGUUUCAUAUGGUGGUUUAGAUUUAACUAUUCAUUGUCUAGCACCAUUUGAAAUCAGUGUUCUUGGAGGAAGAAUGCCUGCCUUCAUCAGGGAAACGGACCCUCAGGAGCCUCAGAGGAAAAGAAGAGAAAGUCAAGAUCUUCCUUGUGUGGUUCUGCCAUUCCAAUUAACCUCCAGCACCAAACAAAGUCCCUCACUGGGACUCCAGGGGUCUGUGGCCCAGGUGACUCCUGGGAGAGCAAUGCACAGAGUGAUUUCAAAGGCAGAAAUUCUGCUGUCAUCAUAUUUAUAAUACUUGUGAGUAGUGAGCAGCAACUUCAGAACCCAAGAAUAUUUUGAGACAGAAAACUAAGCAAAAAAGUAAAAUCCGUAGUUGUAACUCAGAAUUCAAGAUGUUGAUUUUAAUGCCCUGAUUAGUAAAAACUACCAUAACUAGUUCAUACAACAUGGUGAGGAAUGAGGAGGGAACUACAUGUGCUCUAAAUUCUUAACUCAAAACCUGUUUUCAGCCUUACCUAGAUCUAUUUUUCUUGCCACUUCAUCACACUUGUAAAUACUUUGUAUAUGUAUCAUACAAGACAGAGAAUCGAAUUUGAAACUGGUAGUUCUGCAUUGAAGCACUGGGAGUUCUGGAUGCUGUUUGCAUCCCUCCUGUGUGUUCGGCUUUUUGUUGUGGCACGUUUGGCAGGUCAGAAUGUGUUACUUAUUUUGUGUGACAAGACCUGCCAGCGUGCAGGUUGGUGGUUGGAUGUGCUCAUGGAAAUGGCCAGCAACUGAGAAUUAGACCACGGGUGGUUGGUGACAUUAUCCAAGUCUGCUGAAAUUUGGAGAAUAUUUCAAGAUUAUAUUUUUUGAAGUAUUUCUCUGUAUUAAAAAAUGUGUGUACAUGUCGGUUGAUGUUGAAAAUGUUCACUGUCUAAACCUCUGUUUUUCUCACCAGUGCUUUAAUAAGAAUUAUAUCAAGUAUUUGGGGAUUCUCCAAUGUGAAAUGCUGUCCAGCACAUGACUCUUCAUCCUUGCAGAUCUCCAUAACCCCUUUAGAGGAUGACUGAUUUCUUUUGGUGUUCAGAGUCAAUAAUAAUUUCUAGCACCAUUUGAAAUCGGUUAUAGUGAUUGGGGAAUUGCACCUCGUGAAUUUUUGCAGAAGAGGCUCCAGAGAGAAGCUUUAAUGGUCCUGUGUGUGAAGAUGAUCCUUGGAACGGUUUGGAAAGCCUUACGGUGCUGAGAGGGAAGAUGGUUUUCCCAGUGAGAAUAACCAGUGUGGACUUUGGCUCAAAGAAGAAGAACCCCACCCUGUUGGCUUAAUGAUCUGUCUGUGAGGUAUGAGGAAAUAAAAGGAGCAGCAGGAAACCUUCCAAUCUGCAGCUCUCUUACUCUGGACGUGCUGAAAGCAAGAUCUCAUGGAGGUUUUCCCUGCCAGCCUGAGAGCUUCUUCCAUUCUCCUCUCGUACAGUCCUUACAGAGUAAGCCAUAAACAACCUGAGUCACCUCUCCAAGGGUGUUCAAUAUAUAUGAAUUCCUCUGAAAUUUCAGUUGUUCAGAGACACAGCUGGCUGGAGGCAGAGUCAGAGGUGGGUCCUGUCCCCAGUUCCAGCAGGAUCUAAUUAUCCAUGAAAACAAUGUCUGAAAGUCAUUCUUCAGUCAGCUGAUCCUUUUACAUCCAGCUUUUUGGGAGUUAAUGCCACCAACUAACCUACAGCAAAACAUCACACACCAGCCUGCAGCACAGCAUCCCUGUAGCAGGGGAUGUUUUCCUGGAUAUCCUGGUAAGUUCAGCAAUGUACUACUUUUCCCACUAUUCCAUCUGGGGUAACUAAGAAAAAGGGGUUCUGUAAACAAGUAGGGCAACUUUGGAAUAUUUAGAGGAAUUUCUAAGGUUGUGGCUAGUUGUUGGAUGCAAAUCUUCCUUCCUUUUAUCCCCUUCAGAUUUUUUUUAUGUAUAUGAUGACAAUAUAUUUGAAAGUAUAUUGAAAGCUGGAGAAGGAAUUUUGGCAAGGAGAUGGAGUGACAGGACAAGGGGGAAUAGCUUUGAACACAGAGCAGGGUUAGAUUAGAUAAUUAGGUGGACAUUUUUCCCUGUGGUGUUGAUGAGGCCCUGGCACAGGGUGCCCAGAGAAGCUGUGGCUGCCCUUGGAUCCCUGGAAGUGCCCAAGGCCAGGUCGGAUGGGGCUUGAACAACCCAGGAUGUUGGAAGGUGUCCCUGCCCAUGGCAGGGUGGGUUGGAAUGAGAUGGUCUUUAUUUCUAAAUAGGAUAAUCACAAACCAAAAGGGACUUUUGUGACCUCUUUCAAGUCUUUUGCUUCCCAUCCAUUCAUGACAUCUACCCUCAUGCUCUGCCUCUUUUCAGACAGAGCUUUGAGAAGUAGUGAGUCCUGUGUUUACUGCCAAGGUCUGUAGGUUAAGCCCUUAAAUUAAUGGAACAAAUCAUUGAAAUAUGGAAAAUAUAGACUGGCUGGCAGCAUGGGGAGUUUGCAGCACGAUGCAGAACUCUGCAUGUUUUAGCGGGUUUGACAGAUGUUCUUGUGCAGGUUAAAAGCUGUGCAGAAUUAAGUGGUGUUGGAAGCGUGACUUGAAAUAAUCACCGUGUUUUAAGUACAUCCACUGCCUGAGUAGCUCCCAUGCAGACAGUUGCUUAAAUGAUUUCUUGUGGGAAGUCCUUGAGGGAGCAGAUGGAUCUGUUUGGAGUUUUGCUGUGCGUGUAGGAUUGAAAUGUCAGGACUUCAAGGAAACUUGUUAGCACAGAAACUAAUCUUAAGGUUCAAACCAGUUACAGAGUGGUGCAGAAACAAGUGAAGAAGGUUAAUAACAUUUUAAUUGUAUCGAAAAGCAAGAGUUUCUUUGCACCAUACAGUCAGAAAAGUGGAGCUGCCAAGUGCUUGGAUCUCGUGAAAGUAUUUUCAGAUGUGAGCACUCCUGGUGGUGUGCCCGUGUGCUCCCACACAGGAUUGUGUCCUGCUCAUGGUGGAUCUUCUUUACAGCAACAGGGGAGGAAAGGAUGAAAAAAGGAAGAAAAAUGCCUGAUGAAAACAGAAGCAUUUCAGCAUAAAAUAUCUCUGAGGAAGAAGGAAGUGUAUGUAACGAGUUGGUUUGGGUUUUUUUGGUUUUUUUUGGUUUGUUUGUUUGUUUUGUUUGUUUUUUUUUUAAUUUAUGUAAUUAAAAAGUUGAGUUGCUCUCAACUCCUGGCCUUUUAAAAAAGUGAAACUACUGGAAGACAGGUCUUCCCUGUCACAUAGAUUUGGGACAUUUUUGCAGUUUUGCAAAAUAGUGCCUACAAAACCUGCACCAGUUCUCAAAAUUCCAGUUAGGUACCACAAGGGGUAACUUAAACUCUUUGUUUUCAAAUCUGCUCCAUCCUCCUGUUGACAGACCCUGCAGCAGUCACAAAAUGCAUCAUGCAGGGGGAUUGUUUCCAUGGCCAGAAAAGUUUGUCUCGUUGCCAGUGUUCUGGAAUGAUGUUAAAAUGAAAUCAACACUUGGACUAAGCCAAAAGCAGCACUGGAAGUCAACUGCUUCUCCCAAAAAACCCUCUCACUUCUGGAUUAAUAUAAAAUGUGCUGGAUGAGAGGGAGAGAAAGAUGAUGUCUGCUGGGAAAUUUUUAAUACAAAAAUAUUUCAGAAAUGUCUGACAGUGUACACAUUUUUUAUUAAUGAGUCCUGAAACCACUUCAUUCUACUAUUUCAAACUGAAAUUUCAAUUGUUGCAAUUAAUUUGUCUGAAAUUUUUGUGAUCUUGCAUCACAGUCUCAAAAUGUCAGGCUUCUACAUAAGGAUGUUCUGUGAAAUCCACUGUAUAUUGGCAAUCUUGGAGGAAAAUAAACUGAUCAUGCUGAGUAGGGCUUGGGGUGAUACUGAAAAACAGCUUUGUUUUCACAGCGAAUAAAUUGAGGGUCAGAACUAUAAUUUUCAUUAUAAUUGAUAAAAUAUUCAACAUUAAUUGAUAAAAUAUGCAGGCAUAGGAUGCUUAUGAAAGAGUGGAACAGUAAAUGAAGCAAAAUUGUGAUAUUCUACAAGACGCUCCCUGAUUCCUUCAAGCCAGUUUGAGACUUCUUAACCAAAAAUAUCUGGGACUUCUUAACCAAAAAUUGUGUGUGAUCUGCUGUGUCCUUAGCACACAUUUCCAGUGGCAGAAUGGGCAGCAGAGGUCUGAGGAGGAUAAAUGCAGGAAUUGUGGCUUUUAGUGCGGGCUGGUCGAGUCCUGCUGGGACCUUUGCUAAGUAUGAAACAGCAGAGGCUUGUGUUGGCAGAGCUUUGCUGUGCAGUAAAACAGGCUGUUAGAGCUCACAGCAGUGUAAAGGUGCCAGCAGAGCAAAUUCUUCCUUGUUUGGGUAAUCCAUAUGAAAAUAGUGUUAGAAUUUCUAACUAUCUGGUGGAUCAGAUCCAGUGAGGGCAGUGAAGCCAGCCUGGGUUAAGCUGCCUGCAGCAAUUGUCACUUUUCAGGUAUCACUAGGACAGCUCUGCUCCCCUGGUUUCUGACAGUGGUCCCUCAGACUGCUGGGUUCUCUUCUCCAGGUGCUGCAGGUGCAUCUCCUCUGGAAGCAUCCAGAACUUUGGGGUUUCAAGCAGAAAAGCUGGGCCAGCUAUGUGCUUCACCUCUGCUGCUGAGCAAGGGGAUGUUCAGUGGGUGCUGGUCAGUGUAAUGGUUACAGACUCUGGGUCAGAAGAUAGUCCCACUCAGCUCCUUGAAAUAGGAGGCAAAAAAUGUUUUCUCUGAUGUCAUUCUCAGUCUACUGGAUCUCCAACAACUUUCCAAGAACAGUCCAUGGAGAGAUGUAUGGCUGCCUGCUCUGCUGCCUGGAUUGCUGGGUAUUUAAGUCCCCUUAUGUGCAGUUUCUGACUGUGCUGCCUUCUCAGCAUCAUGUCUGUCUCCUCUAGAGGAUUCUUCUCCAGAGAACCUGCCAUGGAAGCAGAUGAUCUGUCUUCAGUCCUGGGGGCAAAUCAAUAAAACUAUUUUCUCUGUGUCAAAGAAGUUUUUUAAAGCCCCCUUGGCAAAAAAUUGAGAGGUGAGCCUUGGGAUUGCAGAUAUUUGAGUUCAGUAUUUUGGUGCUAGUGAAAGUCACAGAAUGGUUUGGGUUGGAAGGGACCUUAAAGACCAUCCAGUUCCAUCCCCCUGCCAUGGGCAAGAACACUUUUCACCAUCCCAGGUUGCUCCAAGCCCUGUCCAGCCUGGCCUUGGACAUUUCCAGGGAUCCGGGGGCAGCCACAGCUUCUCUGGUCAACCUGUGCCAGGGCCUCACCACCCUCACAGGGAAGAAUUAUUCACAUAUUGUUGCAGAGGAAAGCUUUUUUGGUCUCUGCUUUCCCAAAGCAAUCAGUGUGUCAAGCCCUGUGUAACUCUGGCUGGAUUCCAGCCUGGAAAGCCAGACACUGACCCUGAUUUGGAGCAGAACAGCCUGGGAUGAAGUGGCUGGGAAGGGGCAUCAAAGCGCCGUGUGGAGGAGCUGGCUGUGACAACAGUUCACCAAGCAAUGCAUGGCAGAGCAUGGACGUCAAGAGGAAUGUAAGGCAACUCUUUCAACCUCAUUGCUUCAAAUAUCACGACUGUCAUUCUUCUAUAACGUUACUGCAUAAAAACCCAGCGGGAUUUAUUUAUAAUUGAUGAUUUUAUGUGGAGGAUACUCCAAUGCCACCAUGCGGAUUAAAUCCCAGGACAGACUGACAGCUGUAAAACCCAUGAGCACAGGUGAGUGAGCUGGUCUGUUAGUGGCCUCCAGAGGAACACGAAGUGAUUUGCUCAGUUGGAUUUUGCCAUGAUUUAAUUUUCAGUCUUGCCUGUCCUUACUGUGAAACAAACUGGGAAGAGAAUGGCUUGAUAGUUUCCCAUAUGGUUCAUCAUUGCUAAAAGUGCCAUGAGGUGAUGGGAUUGCCUGCUGCAAGCUGCCAAAAUCCUUAUAAAUCCAAACCUGCUCAGAAAUCACCUCUGGGAAAACCUAAAUUUGUCAGGAAAUUCAUGGGAAUUAUAAUGGAUUUCCAGGCUUCCAAAUAAGUUGUCACGUAAAGACUCUCCAUUAUGUUUCCAGUGUGAGAACUGAAAUCGCAACUUGAAGGAAGGACAAACUCAGUGCAAGUAAAUUUUCAAGAUUUCUCUGUGCAAAUCAAAAUUCCAGUUGGAGAACUUUGGAGCGAAACAAUGGUGUAAAAACCCCCACUUUUUAGUUGAGGUUAGCCUGGAAAUUUUAAGGCGCUCAUGAAUAAUUUAUAAACCAGUCUUCCCACGGAUGAGCAGCAGGACGAGAGCGUGGCUACGUUUGUCACUGUAUUGAGACGUUUCCUGGCAAUGGUGGAAUUUUUAUGGUGUUCUUUCUCAUAAUGGAGUUGUUGCUUAGCUUUUAAUGUCCCAAAUGUAAACAGAUCUGAGGAAGCAGAUCGUUAAAAACGUUUAGAAAGGGCGAAUGAAAAAGUGAAGUACUUGCGUGCUGCGUUCCAAGCAAAGCCUAUAAAUCACCGCCAUCGGAAUUCUCUGACAAGGAGCAAAUGGUUUUAUGGACUCACAGAAAUGGCAUUGGGAGGAAUAGUGAAAAGAUUAAUAUUUUUAAAUCAUGGCAGAAGAGCAGAGGGAAUAACCCGAGAGGUUUGAGAAGCUGUCCCGUGCUCUGUUUUAAAUUGUAACACUUUGACUUAACAAAUUCAAGAUCUGAUUCAAAUCUGCUUUGCCAUCUUCAGCUCCACAGUCUCUGAAGCCGUGGGACCAGUUGACUUCACUGCCUGGUGCUCCUUCAUUAGCCAGGCUGGGAAUGCUUAAAUCCAUGCAGAGGUUUUAUGUGUGGAAGCAGCUCAGGAAAAAAGGGUAAAAAAAGCAGUUUUCGUUUGAUUUUCAACCCUCAGAGCUGCUUUCUAAACUCAAAUUUGGGUUUGCAGCUUUCAAGCCUUCAAGAGUCACUCCAGUGACCCAUCCUGGGCAGGAAGCUGGGGAUCCCGUGGGAUGCAGGGGUGGAGAUGGCAACCCCUGGAAGGCGCUGGUGCAGAGGGAAGGGUGAGUGCUCCUCGGCUGCCCUGGCCCAGCCAGCCCAGCAGAUGUGAGAUGCUGCCUUGGCACGGGCGGCAGCGGGAGCCGCGGUUGGGCUCGGCGGGAGAGGCCGUGGGUGGAGAGGAGCUGGCAGGGAUCCCGGGAGCCGCUGGGAAGAGGCUGCGCGGGGGAGAGCGAGCUCACCACCCACCUCGGAUGAAAUCAUGGAACGGGCGAGCAUGAGGAAAGGCUGGUGAGGAGAAGGAGACCUAAAAAAAAAAGGGAGAGGACGGGAGAGGAAGGAUGGUGGACCAGCGAGGAGGGUGGUUCCUGAGCUGGUGGGUUCAAGGAGGAUCUGGUUCUCACAGGAGUCAGAAUAAGAGCAGGAAUUUGUCACAGGAAGGUUUGCUCCAGCAGCAUAGAAAAGAACUUUGAUACCUGACUUCUUUGAUGGAAAUGCAUUAACGUGUCUGAAUGGAGGAGUGAAAUAAUCAGGCAGGCUGCUGCUUCCCCAAUCUAACCUCUAACCAAGCUUGGACCAAGGAAGAUGCAUUCCUGGAGUGAGGAGAAGGAGAUCUCUGGAGCUGGCUGGUUUAAAACAAUGUUUUUAAGGGCUCCUGAAAAAGGAAUCUUACAGUGCCACUUUCCUUAAGCAAGAAGUGGGUUGCCUUGGUGUUCCCAGUUCAGUGGGCACAUUGUCUCAUCCUUACUGUGCAGACCAACAAGGAAAAAGUCCAGUGUGGCUUCCUGUUGCACUUUGAGACUGGACAUUGCCCAGCCCAGCGUGAACUCCUUGGAUUUUUUCUCCCCAAUAUUUGUCUGAUUUAUGAUAAAUUACACCACUCAUGACUGUUUCAAUCCAAUGAGAAGACCUUCAGUGUCUGUGUUUUCCACAUGGAUUUGUGUCCAAGCUGCCUCCCUGCAGCUAAUCCCACAUCAUUUCUGGAGAGCUCAGGCAGGCGAGGAGCCAGUGGAAGGAGCGGGUGUGAUCAGCACGAGGUUUUGUCCAGUGCACCCACUGAAUACAGCCUGCAUCUUCUGCUGGGUUUUGUUGGAUCCUUUUCAUUCCUUGGAAGCACAGUUCAGGACAAAACUGUCACAGUCUGACUUUAAGGAAUGGGAUUCUCAGCACUUCUGUCUCUGCU